rnacentral:rRNA from 1 species
AUGCAACAAAGUUGUGGGACGGAAGAUAAACAUUGUUCAACCAUAUUUGAUCAAGCAAGGACCUCAGUUAUAGUCAGGCUUGAACCCUCUGCUGGUGAUGGGUCCAAUGUGCCUCUGCUGCCCACGGCGUGCAUCCUCUCGCCUCCAUCAGCGCAGAGGGCAGAGGCAGGGGAUGUGUCUGGAUGUGAUGAGGAAGGAGCAGAGGGCGGUGCGGCUGCCGAAGCUCAAGUACGUGGACGCCAUGGGGCUCCCCUAUCGCCAAAGACAUCAAGCAUCUCACCACGCAGGCACAGGUCCGGCUCGGCAAGAUGCUCGCCGACGCAUACAUAUCCACGCUCUCAGUACGCAAUCAGUCAGUGUGUUGUGUGUAUGCCUGCCUGA